UACAGAGGCCUCGAGCGUUAGGCGGAAUUACUGGGCGUAAAGCGUGCGUAGGUGGUGAGUUAAGUCUGAUGUGAAAUCCCCGGGCUCAACCUGGGAAUGGCAUUGGAUACUGGCUCGCUAGAGUGCGGUAGAGGGUGGUGGAAUUCCCGGUGUAGCAGUGAAAUGCGUAGAGAUCGGGAGGAACAUCUGUGGCGAAGGCGGCCACCUGGACCAACACUGACACUGAGGCACGAAAGCGUGGGGAGCAAACAGG
rnacentral:rRNA from 1 species